UGAGAGACAUGAGCUAAGGCAAUGAGAAGC
rnacentral:piRNA from 1 species